GGCACCGUAGACUAGACUGCUUAUCCUCUGCCGCCAUUUUCUCUGCUGCCUCCACCACCUCACAGCAGACGCCGCUGCCAACAGCCUCAGCUCCACAGCAAUCCUCUUGGCAAAGCCACCUUUGUCAAGCAGCCAGAUAACUUCUCUGGUUGAGGUACUGACUGGUGUAUCUCUUCUGCCAUGUCUGCUACAGAGAAUCAAGGUCCAAUCCCAGGUGGCCAGAAGGAAGCCAGUGGUGGGGUGGGCCAGGACCCUGGAUCCAUCAGGGGCGGUGCAGUGCCUGCAGAAUGGGGGGCUGGAGUCGCAAGGGCCGCAGUCCCUAGGGAUUUCCAGGCAGUUGCUCAAGAUCUUUGGGAGGAGGGUAGGCAGGGGGAUGCUCAGCCUGUAAUCCAGGGAAACUGGGAUGUACAGCAAGUAGAAGAGGAGGAGGGGGCAGAAGAAGAGGAGGAGGAAGUUGAGGAGGAGGAGGACGACGAAGAAGAGGAAGAGGAGGAGGAGGAGGAUAAAGAAGGAGAAGGAGGGGGAGAAGAGGAAGGAGGGGAUGAGGGGGGCAGAGAAGGGGAAGAGAAUGAGGAAGAGGAGGAAUAUGAGGAGGAGGACAAUGAAGAAGAGGAGGAUGACGACAGCUUUGAGGAAGAGGAUGAGAAUUACAUGGACAAAGAGGAAGAAGAGACCGAUACUCCUGAGGGCAGAGUACUGGAUGCCAUUACUGAUUUUAAAUUGGGAUAUUUUUUCUGCCACCUUCUGGUCCUAAAGUCCACAUUAUUCUUCACUAAAGAAGCAACUGAAUAUCAGUAUGAAAACUCUGAUGAAGAGGCCCAAAAAGCUGGAGGAGAGGAGAAGGAAGUGGAUGAGGAUGAAAAUGAAGAACCAGAAGAAAGAAAAUGGAUAUGGACUCAGCAGAGGGCGGCUGUGUAGAAUUCAGUUGGAAGGCACAGAACAAAAUGGAUGGCGAAAGAAGAAAUGAAUUUAUUCUUCACAGAUAUUCUAGUUUUCAAGUCCAAACCACUAGUUUUGUUUCAAAAUGAUAUUAACUGACAUCUGACUCUACUCUUACCUUUUACAGAUAUAUUUGACAGCAUUUGUUUACAUUAAAAAUAAAAGUUUGUUUG
rnacentral:lncRNA from 1 species